rnacentral:misc_RNA from 1 species
UAAUGGUAUUUUGAACCGGAACGGUCACACGCGUCUCUACAAUUUCUGGACGCGAUUUCGUGGGAAUCUUCGAUGGAAAUGCGUCUGAAUGCGGCUUCCAUAUGGCUGCUAAUACUGUCGUAUGGAGCUAUUAUUGCUCAAGGAGAACGAACCCGCGAUAAGAUGUACGAGCCCAUUGGAGGAGCUAGCUGUUUCCGGCGUCUCAAUGGCACCCACCAGACAGGCUGUUCCUCAACGUACUCCGGUUCCGUGGGCGUACUUCAUCUGAUAAACGUCGAGGCCGACCUGGAAUUUCUACUGACCAGUCCACCAUCACCACCAUACGCCCCGCUGAUACCACCACACUUGUUCACACGCAGCAACCUGAUGCGCCUGAAGGAAGCCGGACCAAAGAACAUUUCUGUGGUGCUGCUGAUUAACCGCACGAAUCAGAUGAAGCAGUUCUCGCACGAACUCAACUGCCCCAAUCAGUACAGUGGCCUGAACAGCAGCAGCGAGACCUGCGACGCCAGCAAUCCAGCCAAAAACUGGAAUCCCUGGGGCACUGGACUGCUGCACGAAGACUUUCCCUUCCCCAUCUACUACAUAGCCGACUUGGAUCAGGUGAACAAGCUGGAAAAGUGUUUCCAGGACUUCAACAACCAUAACUACGAGACGCACGCUUUGCGUAGCUUGUGCGCCGUCGAGGUCAAGUCCUUUAUGUCAGCCGCUGUUAACACCGAGGUCUGUAUGCGCCGCACCAACUUCAUCAAUAAUCUUGGGGGAAGCAAGUACUGUGAUCCGCUCGAGGGACGGAAUGUGUACGCCACCUUGUACCCCCGAAAACCAGCAGUGGAAAACAACUUGGAGACCGUCCACACGAAUGAAAAGUUCAUACUAGUUUCCUGCCGACUGGACACCACCACCAUGUUCGAUGGCGUCGGUCUUGGAGCCAUGGACUCCCUUAUGGGAUUCGCUGUUUUCACCCAGGUGGCGUAUCUUUUGAAACAAUUGCUUCCGCAAAGCUCGUUGUCCAAUCCUCUUCAUAAUGUGCUCUUUGUGACUUUUAAUGGCGAAUCCUAUGACUACAUUGGAUCUCAGAGAUUUGUAUACGACAUGGAGAAACUUCAAUUUCCUACAGAGUCCACAGGCACGCCGCCAAUUGCCUUCGACAAUAUCGAUUUCAUGCUGGACAUCGGUACACUGGAUGACAUAUCGAAUAUUAAGCUGCAUGCAUUGACUGGAACACCGCUGGCGCAGAAAAUUCUGGAGCAUCUGAACAAUUAUGCGAAGUCACCACGCUAUAGCUUUAACCUAAACAUUCAGUCCGAGAUGAGCGCCCACUUACCACCUACGUCGGCGCAAUCCUUUCUGCGACGUGAUCCAAAGUUCCAGGCUCUGAUUCUGAACGCUCGGCCAACCAACAAGUAUUAUCAUUCCAUCUACGAUGAUGCGGACAACGUCGACUUCACCUAUGCGAACACAAGCAAGGAUUUCACCCAGCUGACGGAAGUUAAUGACUUUAAAAGCUUGAAGGCAGACUCACUGCAAAUGAAAGUGCGCAAUGUGUCUUCAAUUGUGGCCAUGGCACUAUAUCAGACGCUAACUGGAAAGGAGUACACUGGCACCAAGGUGGCCAAUCCCCUGAUGGCAGACGAGUUCCUUUACUGUUUCUUGCAAUCGGCGGACUGCCCACUUUUCAAGGCCGCAUCCUAUCCUGGCAGCCAGCUAACCAAUUUGCCUCCGAUGCGCUACAUAAGCGUCUUGGGCGGCUCUCAAGAAUCAUCGGGCUAUACGUAUAGAAUGCUGGGCUAUCUCCUGUCGCAGCUGCAGCCAGACAUUCCCAAAGAUAACUGCACCGACUUGCCGCUGCACUAUUUCGCCGGCUUCAACAAUGUCGGUGAGUGUCGUCUCACCACGCAGAACUACAGUCACGCCCUGAGUCCAGCUUUUCUUAUUGAUGGCUACGAUUGGAGUUCCGGCAUGUAUUCCACAUGGACUGAAUCAACCUGGUCACAGUUCAGUGCACGCAUCUUCCUGCGCCCGUCCAAUGUGCACCAGGUCACUACACUCAGCGUUGGCAUAGUGGUGCUGAUCAUAUCCUUCUGCUUGGUGUAUAUAAUCAGCUCACGAUCGGAAGUCCUCUUUGAGGAUUUGCCGGCAAGCAAUGCCGCAUUAUUUGGUUGAUGUCACAACUGCCACAGCGACGAAAGCAUCGCGUUCAGCAGCUCAUUCCAUAGAUUUCUGCAUGCAUUACCGCGACCGACAGCCUGUUAAAUCUUCAAGAAUAUCUGAGCACAUGCCGAAGAUGAUUGGGGUUGCUGAAUAUGAUUUAAAACGAAAAACAGACUUAACAAAGACACUAAAAUGAUAUUCUAACUUGUCUUAUUUAAAACAUUAAGCAAACGUUUAUUUAUAUGUAUUUUUGUAUUUUAAACAAGUAAAUUAGCUUCUAGCGACUACGUUGUAUCAUA